CGCAAAGCAACAGCAGCGGAUACAAUGGCGAAAGUUAAUGUAUUUUGGUCAUUCGGUAGACCCAGAAAACUUAGUACAGUGUUUCCAAGUGUUGUACGCGUACCUCUGGUGGUACACGAGAUGAUCUUAUGUGAUACGCAGACGACUUUUUUAUUUUGAUAGUUAUAUAUUUAUUUUAAUAUGGAUUAGAAAAAAAUUAACGCGGUUAUUACAUUAUCUGUCAACAGUUAAACAUUGGCUAACGUGUAUUCCGAGAGCAUGCGCAAUGACAUACUAAGAACCAUGUUCGUUAGUUAGUGUUAGAUGAAGAUUCUCAUUUUAUGAGUGUGUGUCCGUUUUAUUUAUUUUUUCUCUUUUGAAUCCAUCAUGGAUCAGUGGUUAAAAACGGGAUUUUUAAGGGGUAAAGAUGAAGACUGUAGCAUGAAUUCUGAAGUUCUUUCCACUUUGUUAUAACAAUGUCAUUUUGAGCUGAGAAAAAUAAUGUUUUGAAAUAAAUAUUAUGGAACUAUUUCUCGAGCAGUGUUUGCCGCUGCUCUAUUGGUUAACGCACUCGGGCUGUCUUCACGCCGUCAGGAUCACGUAGCAAUUUUCUCAGGAUGAAGGAAUAGAGGUACUGGACUAGUCAGCUAAGUCACCGGAUCUGAAUGUGAUUGAGCAUGUGUGGAACUUGUUAGGGAGAGCAGUUAGACAGAGACAACCUGCUCCUACGACUGUCAAGGGGCUCAGAGCUGUCCUCAUACAAUAGUGGACUGUGCUGCCCCACCAGGUCAUCCAAAAUGUUAUCAGCAGUAUGGGGAACAUGUACAGAUAAGUCAUAAACAAUAGAAGAGGACAUACCAGUUACUAAAGAAUAACUUAUUUUUCCUUUAAUAUUUAUGCAGUCAAAUAUUGGCAUUUUUCUCGUUAAUAUUGCUUUUCAUAUUUGCACAUGAAUUUUUCGACUUACUUGAUAUUGUUUACCCGUGAUAUUUGUUAUAAACAUGUUUCGUCAAUA